CAUCGAGAUGGGGAACAGGCUCCGUGCAGAGCUGGGCCGACCCGAAAGCACAUGGCUCACACCUGUAUUCCCAGCACUUUGGGAGGCCAAGGCGGGCAGAUCACCUGAGGUCGGGAAUUCGAGACCAGCCUGACCAACAUGGAGAAACCCCGUCUCUACUAAAAAUACAAAAUUAGCCGGGCGUGGUGGCGCAUGCCUGUAAUCCCAGCUACUUGGGAGGCUGAGGCAGGAGAAUUGCUUGAACCCAGGAGGUGGAUGUUCUGGGGGUGUCGAGAUCGCGCCACUGCACUCCAGCCUGGGGGACAAGAGCGAAACUCCAUCUCAAAAAAA
rnacentral:lncRNA from 10 species